GCGAGUCUGAAUAGGGCGCAUAAGUAACAGGUCGUAGACCCGAAACCAGGUGAUCUACCCAUGUCCAGGAUGAAGGUAAGGUAAUACUUACUGGAGGUCCGAACCCACGCACGUUGAAAAGUGCGGGGAUGAGGUGUGGGUAGCGGAGAAAUUCCAAUCGAACUUGGAGAUAGCUGGUUCUCUCCGAAAUAGCUUUAGGGCUAGCCUCGAGGUAAAGAGUCAUGGAGGUAGAGCACUGUUUGGACUAGGGGCCCUUCUCGGGUUACCGAAUUCAGAUAAACUCCGAAUGCCAUGUACUUAUACUCGGGAGUCAGACUGCGAGUGAUAAGAUCCGUAGUCGAAAGGGAAACAGCCCAGACCACCAGUUAAGGUCCCCAAAUAUAUGUUAAGUGGAAAAGGAUGUGGGGUUGCUUAGACAACCAGGAUGUUGGCUUAGAAGCAGCCACCAUUGAAAGAGUGCGUAAUAGCUCACUGGUCGAGUGACCCCGCGCCGAAAAUGUACCGGGGCUAAACAUAUUACCGAAACUGUGGAUGAACCUCAUUAGAGGUUCGUGGUAGGAGAGCGUUCUAAGGGCGGUGAAGUCAGACCGGAAGGACUGGUGGAGCGCUUAGAAGUGAGAAUGCCGGUAUGAGUAGCGAAAGAAGGGUGAGAAUCCCUUCCACCGAAUAUCUAAGGUUUCCUGAGGAAGGCUCGUCCGCUCAGGGUUAGUCGGGACCUAAGCCGAGGCCGAUAGGCGUAGGCGAUGGACAACAGGUAGAGAUUCCUGUACCAGUGCUAAUUGUUUAACCGAUGGGGUGACACAGAAGGAUAGGGAAUCGCACGAAUGGAAAUGUGCGUCCAAGCAGUGAGUGUGAGAAGUAGGCAAAUCCGCUUCUCGCGAAGCAUGAGCUGUGAUGGGGAAGGAAAUUAAGUACGGAAGUUCCUGAUUUCACGCUGUCAAGAAAAGCCUCUAGGAAGAGUAGUACUGCCCGUACCGCAAACCGACACAGGUAGAUGAGGAGAGAAUCCUAAGGUGAGCGAGAGAACUCUCGUUAAGGAACUCGGCAAAAUGACCCCGUAACUUCGGGAGAAGGGGUGCUCUAUUAGGGUGCAAGCCCGAGAGAGCCGCAGUGAAUAGGCCCAGGCGACUGUUUAGCAAAAACACAGGUCUCUGCAAAACCGUAAGGUGACGUAUAGGGGCUGACGCCUGCCCGGUGCUGGAAGGUUAAGAGGAGUGCUUAGCUUCGGCGAAGGUACGAAUUGAAGCCCCAGUAAACGGCGGCCGUAACUAUAACGGUCCUAAGGUAGCGAAAUUCCUUGUCGGGUAAGUUCCGACCCGCACGAAAGGCGCAACGAUCUGGGCACUGUCUCAACGAGAGACUCGGUGAAAUUAUAGUACCUGUGAAGAUGCAGGUUACCCGCGACAGGACGGAAAGACCCCGUGGAGCUUUACUGCAACCUGAUAUGGAAUGUUUGUACCGCUUGUACAGGAUAGGUAGGAGCCGAAGAGACGUGUGCGCUAGCAUACGAGGAGGCAAUGGUGGGAUACUACCCUGGCUGUAUGACCAUUCUAACCCGCCACGCUUAGCGCGUGGGGAGACAGUGUCAGGUGGGCAGUUUGACUGGGGCGGUCGCCUCCUAAAGAGUAACGGAGGCGCCCAAAGGUUCCCUCAGAAUGGAUGGAAAUCAUUCGCAGAGUGUAAAGGCACAAGGGAGCUUGACUGCGAGACUGACAAGUCGAGCAGGGACGAAAGUCGGGCUUAGUGAUCCGGUGGUUCCGCAUGGAAGGGCCAUCGCUCAACGGAUAAAAGCUACCCCGGGGAUAACAGGCUUAUCUCCCCCAAGAGUCCACAUCGACGGGGAGGUUUGGCACCUCGAUGUCGGCUCGUCGCAUCCUGGGGCUGUAGUCGGUCCCAAGGGUUGGGCUGUUCGCCCAUUAAAGCGGCACGCGAGCUGGGUUCAGAACGUCGUGAGACAGUUCGGUCCCUAUCCGUCGCGGGCGCAGGAAAUUUGAGAGGAGCUGUCCUUAGUACGAGAGGACCGGGAUGGACACACCGCUGGUGUACCAGUUGUUCCGCCAGGAGCAUCGCUGGGUAGCUAUGUGUGGCAGGGAUAAACGCUGAAAGCAUCUAAGCGUGAAGCCCCCCUCAAGAUGAGAUUUCCCAUUUCUUCGGAAAGUAAGAUCCCUGAAAGAUGAUCAGGUAGAUAGGUUUGGAGUGGAAGUGUAGCGAUACAUGGAGCGGACAAAUACUAAUCGAUCGAGGACUUAACCAAAA
rnacentral:rRNA from 1 species